GAUGAACGCUGGCGGCGUGCCUAAUACAUGCAAGUCGAGCGAACAGACGAGGAGCUUGCUCCUUCGACGUUAGCGGCGGACGGGUGAGUAACACGUAGGUAACCUACCUAUAAGACUGGGAUAACUUCGGGAAACCGGAGCUAAUACCGGAUAAUAUUUCGAACCGCAUGGUUCGAUAGUGAAAGAUGGCUUUGCUAUCACUUAUAGAUGGACCUGCGCCGUGUUAGCUAGUUGGUAAGGUAACGGCUUACCAAGGAAACGAUACGUAGCCGACCUGAGAGGGUGAUCGGCCACACUGGAACUGAGACACGGUCCAGACUCCUACGGGAGGCAGCAGUAGGGAAUCUUCCGCAAUGGGCGAAAGCCUGACGGAGCAACGCCGCGUGAGUGAUGAAGGUCUUCGGAUCGUAAAACUCUGUUAUUAGGGAAGAACAAACGUGUAAGUAACUGUGCACGUCUUGACGGUACCUAAUCAGAAAGCCACGGCUAACUACGUG
rnacentral:rRNA from 1 species